ACGAACGCUGGCGGCGUGCUUAACACAUGCAAGUCGAACGGAAAGGCCCUGCUUUUGUGGGGUGCUCGAGUGGCGAACGGGUGAGUAACACGUGAGUAACCUGCCCUUGACUUUGGGAUAACUUCAGGAAACUGGGGCUAAUACCGGAUAGGAGCUCCUGCUGCAUGGUGGGGGUUGGAAAGUUUCGGCGGUUGGGGAUGGACUCGCGGCUUAUCAGCUUGUUGGUGGGGUAGUGGCUUACCAAGGCUUUGACGGGUAGCCGGCCUGAGAGGGUGACCGGCGAGAUUGGGGUAGAGAUCACGGCGGGGCGGCGACGGGGGCCAGGAGGGCGGGGGGGUGCUCGAGGCGCUGAGGCUGGAUCCCGUCACGCCGUGUGCGGGAUGGGGGGUGGCGGUUUGGAAAACGCAUUCGGCGGAGACGUAGGGGGAGUGACGGGAGUGGGUAAAGCAGCAGAGCCGCAUCCCAUC
rnacentral:rRNA from 1 species